AAAGUUAUGAGUUUAGUUCAGAUAAUUUUGAGCAUCGACCAAAAUGGUCAUUAAUUAUCAAUCAAAAUCAUGAAGGUAGUAGUGAUAGUAGUAGUGACAGUAGU
rnacentral:ribozyme from 1 species